rnacentral:misc_RNA from 1 species
GAAUUUACUGUUCCUUGUUGCAGACCGUUUUCUAUGGAGAAUUCUUUGCUUGAUGUGUGUGAGCCGUCGGUCAUUAAGAAUGUUUUGUUUGUUAUCAUACUAUUUUAAUUAAGUAUUCUGGAAAGUUUUUUUUAAUCAUUUUGUAUAUAAGACCUGGGAUCCAGACUGUGUCGAAAGCUUUUUCGAGGUGUAUUAAGCAGGCGGCUACUCGUUACUUUGCGUUAAGUGCGCAGCAGAUGUCCGACGUAAGUUUAUUUAUUGCGUGGAUUGUGGAGUGCUUGUGCCGGAAGCCGAAUUGAUUUUCCGAGAUUACCUUAUUUUUUGACCAGAAGGCGGCUAGGAGGUUGUUUAUGACUAUUUCG